rnacentral:lncRNA from 1 species
AUAAACUCUGUAUAUGAUAUACCAAAAAUGUUUCUUUCCAUGUCUAUGUUUAACAAUACACCAUCUUGAAGCUUAUCUUUAACAUACAUAUCAAUAAAGUUGCAGUACAUAGGGAGAUUAUUUGCACCAGCUGCAAGGGAAGACUCUUGAUGUUCUAACUUUGCUAUUUCUUGUUUCUUUGUAUUUGAUUCAUUUGUUUUUCUUGAAUUUUUGC